rnacentral:rRNA from 1 species
CCAGUCCUUCGGGGCUGGGGAAAGCGGCGAACGGGUGAGUAACACGUGGGUAAUCUGCCCUCGGCACCGGAUAGCCCGGGGAAACCCGGAUUAAUGCCGGAUGGCCUCUCUGCCCUACGGGGCGGCGAGAAAAGGUAGCUUUGGCCUCCGGCCGAGGAUGAGCCCGCGGCCGAUUAGCUUGUUGGUGAGGUAACGGCUCACCAAGGCGACGAUCGGUAGCUGGUCUGAGAGGACGAUCAGCCACACUGGGACUGAGACACGGCCCAGACUCCUACGGGAGGCAGCAGUGGGGAAUCUUGCGCAAUGGGCGAAAGCCUGACGCAGCGACGCCGCGUGCGGGAAGAAGGCCUUCGGGUUGUAAACCGCUUUCAGGAGGGACGAAGCCACUCAGGUUAAUAGCCGAGAGGGUGACGGUACCUCCAGAAGAAGCCCCGGCUAACUACGUGCCAGCAGCCGCGGUAAUACGUAGGGGGCUAGCGUUGUCCGGAUUUAUUGGGCGUAAAGAGCGUGUAGGCGGCCAUGUAGGUCCGGUGUGAAAACUCGAGGCUUAACCUCGAGAUGUCAUCGGAAACCAUUUGGCUAGAGUCCGGAAGAGGAGAGUGGAAUUCCUGGUGUAGCGGUGAAAUGCGCANAUAUCAGGAAGAACACCAAUGGCGAAAGCAGCUCUCUGGGACGGUACUGACGCUGAGACGCGAAAGCGUGGGGAGCGAACAGGAUUAGAUACCCUGGUAGUCCACGCCGUAAACGAUGGGCGCUAGGUGUGGGCGGUGUCGACU